GGGUCACUAGCUCAGCGGUAGAGCACUCGGCUUUUAACCGAUUGGUCCCGGGUUCGAAUCCCGGGUGACCCA
rnacentral:tRNA from 1 species